AUUUCAUUUGUUUUUUUAAGUAUUUCAUGUUUUCCUUAUUUUAGACACUUCCUUGGAGUUUAUAUCCUCAAAGUGGGGAAGAGCUACCUUUGAAGGAAACAACUAAUUCUGAUCUCAGGAAAUUUCAUUUCCUAGGCCCAUCCUGAGCACUCCCACUAGGAGUUGAGUGGGUCGUUUGAGGACAGGCUUGCAGCUGCCUUCUACAAUGUCUGCACCAGGAGAAUUUGCCACCUACAAUCUACUCUGCUGAGGGCCCCUUUAAGACAUUCUGUCCCUUUUACUUGACCUAGAGGGGAACUGAUGGAAGGGAUGAUCUCACUCCAAUGAGAUGUUGACUGCUGUUAAGGUGAACACCAGGUUCUGACUGAUACAAGGAUCUCAGCACCUGGGGAGGGACAACAUCCCACUGCAGGUUGUAUAUUCCUUUUCUUUUUCUUUUUGAAGGGGA